AGCAGGGGAUGGGCCUGAACCGACAUUUCGGUAGAGGCUCGUUAAUGAAGUUGAGCCUGCGAUUCAGACCAACCGUGACGCUAAAUCAGGUCAAUUGAUUUGCGGAAUUAAUUGCUUUAACUCUCUACAGAUUCAUGUGGAGAAGGUUAUCGAGUUGUUGAUCCAGUAUCGAUAUCUGACAGUUACUCAUUCAUCAUUGUAAGCAAUUGCGAUAGUGAUUUUGCUGGGCGGUGGGUUAUGAGAUAUCGACAUGUCUGAGAAUCAUGAUCCAGAGCAGGCGCUGCUGAGUUCAGGAACUGGAGCUGAAGAUGGAAAUAAUGGGGUGGAAAUUGUGGAAAUUACGGUUAAUGAUGGUGUUGUGGAGUCAUCCUCUGAGACGUCCGCGGACAUUGUUUCGGAGAAUGACUCUGUUUUGCAGUCCUCUGAGAUAUCCAGUGGAUUUGUCCCGUCCGAACCGAACCAGGGAUCGGCGAUAUCACCAGAGGUUCCUCGAACCGAAGGUGCAGAGAACUUGCCACAAGAUGACUCUGAUGAUAUUGUAAUAGUCGAAGAUGUUGGAAAAGAAGAUAUGUUUGUGGACUGCCCGGACGAGUUGGUUGGCAAUGCUGAUAUCAGAGAAGCAGUAGCAGCUGCUGAAACUCAAGGUAGUUCGACGGAGGAAGUGCCUUCUGAUACGCAGGAAUUACAGUAUGAGGUAGAAAAAGUUUCUUUAAUUCACGAGGUCGAAAAUACGAGGGCCACUCUGAAUGAGACCAUUUUUGAGAAAGAAAAUGUCAUACAAGAUUUUGAGGAAGAAAGAGAAGCUUUUGUGCAAGAACUUCUUAGCAUUCGUCGCCAAUUAAAGACUGCUACUAAUCAACAGUCAUUGUUCGAUAUUACUGGCAGUCAGUUGAACGACGAGCAGGUUGAAGAGAACACUUUGGUUACUAAUACCACAUUGAAAGACCUAAUAAAUGAAUGCUCACAAUUGGUUAAUAGGACUUUAGAUGAACGGUUGCAGUACGAGGUUACUAUAGGAGGACUCCGUAAUAGCCUCUUAACGAAGGAUCAAGAGAUUGAAUAUCUUAAUGCAAAGGUUGUCGAAAUUUCGGUGACUGAUGAAGUUGCUCGCUCUUAUGCAAAUUCAAUUGAAGAUUCUAUGAAAAUUUCGUUAGAGAAGGAGAGGGAUACGAAUGCCACAUUAGACAGAGUGCUAGCUUCUGUCAACUCAGUAUUGAAUCAGCAAGAUCUCCCUGGCGAUUCUACAUCUGAGAAAACAGUUCUUGUUGAAAGAAGCGCUUCUCUGUUGGUUGAUAAUUAUAAAAAAAUCCUUCUGGAAAUCAAUCAACUCCAAAAAUGUUUAUCUGGGGCAGAGUCUGACAUCGUCUUUGCAGGAUUGGAAACAAUUUUGGGCUCUGCUUGUGAUGAGUUAAUUGAGCUCAAAGCUAAAGAGGUAAGCAAUGUUGCAAAAAUGCAUCAACUGGAAGAUGAAAAUAGAAGAUUGGCUGUUGAGCUAGACAAUUACAGAUUGACAGUUGAGACUGUUAAUGCAGAACUUGAAAAAGCAAAAAGUGAGCUGGAACAGGAAAUGAUGAGGGGUGCUAGUACCAAAGAGAAGCUAAAAAUGGCUGUGACAAAAGGCAAGGCGUUAGUACAGCAACGUGAUGCAUUAAAACAGUCUCUAGCUGACAAAGGUCAUGAGCUUGAAAAAUAUUCUAUUGAAUUACAAGAGAAAUCGAAUGCCUUGGAGGCUGCAGAACUAAUUAAGGUUGACUUGGCUAAAAAUGAAAAUUUAGUUGCAUCACUUCAGGAAAAUUUGUCGCAAAGGAAUACGGUCCUUGAAACUUUUGAGGAUAUCAUAUCUCAAGUUGAAGUUCCUCGUGAACUCACGUCAAUGGAUAGUAUAGAAAGAAUCAAGUGGCUUGUGGAUGAGAAGAAAGUCCUGGAGGCUAUUUUAUUGGAGUUUCAUAAAUUAAAAGAUACUCAAAACUUAUCUGAUUUUCCAGAUUUGAUUGCACCUUAUGACCUGAAAUCUUCCGUCAGUUGGCUUAAGGAAUCAUUUUUUCAGGCUAAAGAUGAAAUAAUGAUCUUGCGAGAUGAACUUGCUAAAACAAAAGAAGCAGCAUGUGGAGAGAUUGACCGCAUAAGUGCGUUACUUUCAAUUGAAUUACAGGAAAAGGACUAUAUCCAGGAGGAGUUGGAUGAUCUGUUAAAAAAACACGAAGAUCUGUUAAGAAAACACGAAGAUCUGUUAAGAAAACACGAAGAUCUGUUAAGAAAACACGAAGUGGUCAUGAUAAAAGAGCAUCAGGCUUCGUUGGAGAAGGCUCAAAUCAUAAAAAUGUUACAAGAAGAAUCUGGAAUGAUAACAGAUGAUGGAGGGGUCAGUGGAAUUUCGUUGGACUUAAACUUGCUUGCUUACAGAUGCUUUCAGAGGAUAAAAGAGCAGGCCAGUGUUGCUGCUGAAAUUUCUAGUGAAUACGUAGAAUCUUUUGCAAAGGUUCAAACUCUUUUGUAUGUUAGUCAUCAGGAUUUGAUGCUCCAUGAUAUACUCCUAGAAGAGGAGUCUUCUAAUAUCAGUAAUUACUCAACUAGAUUAAGAUCAGUAUCUCAAGAACUUAGAGAAGUGAAAGAGGAAAAUGACUCUUUGCAGAGAGAUAUCCAAAGAUCAGAGGAGAAAUAUGCCAUGCUAAGGGAAAAGUUGUCCUUGGCAGUCAAGAAAGGCAAAGGACUUGUUCAGGAUAGGGAAAAUAUGAAAAGUCUCUUAGAUGAUAAGAACAUAGAAAUAGAGAAGUUGAAAUUACAAUUAGAUAGUCUAGAAUCAACAGUUGAUGAUUGCAGAAAUCAAAUCAAUUUGUUGUCUAUUGAUACACAGCGCAUUCCAGAGUUGGAGGCUGAUCUUGAUAUCUUGAAGGGAAAAUGCAAUCAAUAUGAGCAGUUCUUAUUAGAGAGCAAUAAUAUGUUACAGAAAGUAAUUGAAUCAAUUGAUGGAAUUGUUCUUCCCAUUAAUAUAGUGUUUGAAGAGCCUAUAGCUAAGGUGAAGUGGAUUGCAGACUACAUUAGGGAAUCACAUGAUGCUAAGAUAUGUAAAGAACAAGAAUUGGAGAGUAUUAAAGAGGAAUUAAGUACUAUGGAAAGUAAAUUAAGAAAUGCUUUAGCUGCUAUGAACUCAUUGGAAAUUGCAUUAUCAUCUGCUGAGAAAAACAUUUUUCAACUUUCUGAGGAGAAAAAGGAAAUAGAAUCUAGUAAGAUACACAUUGAACACGAAUUACAGAAAGCAUUAGAUGAAGCCUAUUCACAGUCCAGCAAGUCUGCAGAGACUUAUUCAUCCAUGAACCUACUUCAAGAAUCGUUAUCACAGGCAGAAAAUAAAAUACUUGCGCUUGUCAAAGAUAAAGAAGAAGCUGAAGUUUGUAAAGUCACUGUAGAGAUGGAAUCUAAAAAAGUAAAGGAGGAAGUGGCUAUUCAGACAGAUAAAUUGGCAGAGGCCCAUAGAACUAUAAACACGUUAGAAAAGACAUUAAUCGAGCUUGAGACAAAUGUUGCUUUGCUGAAUGAACAGAAUGCUGAAGCACAAAGUGCUAUAGAGAAGCUAGAAACUGAGCGAAAGAUAUUGCAAGAGGAAGUCAGCUCUCAAGAGUGCAAAGUUGUUGAGGCAGUUGAAUCAAUAACAUCUUUGGAAAAUGCAUUACGUAAGGCAGAAAGUAAAAUUUCUAUAAUUGAAGGUGAGAGGAAAGAUUCUGAAAAUGAAAUAUUUGCUCUAAAUUCCAAAUUAAAUGCAUGCAUGGAAGAGUUGGCCGGGACUAGUGGCAGCUUAGAGAGCAGAUCUAUAGAGUUUGCGGGCUACCUCAAUGAUCUUCAUAAGUUUAUUGCAGAUGAGACAUUGUUGACUGUGGUGACACGAUGCUUUGAGAAGAACUUUGAGAGACUAAGAGAGAUGGAUAUCGUUCUGAAGAACACUAGUGAUUGUUUUGUUAACAGCGGUAUAAUAGGUUCUCAUAGUCAUCAUGCUGUUAAGGAUCCGCAUGCUAUGGAGUACCUCUCUCAUGAAAAGCUCCUUGAUUUUGAUGCUGAAAUUGAAAGUGGUAAAGUGGUUGUUGAAGGUGAUGCUGGCAACAUUUCUUCAUCUUUUAGAAAGAUUAUGGAAGGAAUAUGGUUAAAGAACGAAAGAUUCACAGAUUAUUUUGAAGGUUUCUCCUCUUCAAUGAACGGGUUUAUGGCUGAUCUGUUAAAAAAAGUAGAAGCAACAAGGGAGGAAGUAGUUUUUGUAUGUGGGCACGUUGAAUCCUUGAAAGAGAUGGUGAAGAAUCUCGAAAUGUAUAAACAGGAACAAGAAAAUACCAAAGUGAUGCUGGAAGAUGAUGUUUCACUUUUAUUGUCUGCCUGUGUUGAAGCAACAAAAGAACUUCAGUUUGAAAUGACCAACCAUCUACUCUUACUCGACUCUAUUCCCGAACUUGACAACUUGAAGGAUAGCAUACCCAUGGAAAGUAGUGAAACUAAUGGAGCUUCAGCUGCAGAGUCUCCAGCAAAUUCUACUAGAAGCAAGUCAGCUGCUGCUGCAGAAAAAUUAUUGGCUGCAAGUAGAAAAGUUCAAUCUAUGGUUAAACAGUUUGAGAGCGUCAUUAAGGGUGCAGCUGCUAGAAUUCAAGAUACGCAGCAUAUAUUAGAAAUAACUGAGGCAACUACUGAGAAAGUUAGAGAGGAAAGGGACUUGAACAAAAUUAUGGUAGUUAAGUUGGAGGCUGAUUUACAACUAUUACAGAAUUCCUGUGAUGAUCUGAAGCGUCAACUGGAGGCCUGUCAGGCAAAUAAAGAAGAGUUGAAAGAAAGAGAGGCUGAAGUUUCAUCAUUGUAUAGUAGUUUGGUGAAAGAACAAGAAGACUGCGUUUUGUCAGCAAUGCAAAUGAAAGCCCUCUUUGAGAAAGUUAGAAGAAUCGAGUUCCUUUUUCAAGAAUCAGAAUAUCAAGAUCUGGAACAAUAUGCUUCACCUGAUGUAAAGAAGCUCUUUUACCUAACUGAUUAUGUUUCUGAGUUACAAGAUCAGCUGAAAUUAUUAUCUCAUGACAAGCAAAAGCUGCAGUCUACAGUGACUACACAAACACUUGCAAUUGAACAGCUAAAAGAGGGGGUUGAUAGAGCAUCGAGGGAUCAUCUCGAUUUAGAGGAGAUGAAGAAAGAUCUCUCGGAGCUUUCUUAUUCUUUGGAACAACAUACUAGUUUGUUGGGUAGUAAAUAUAGUGGAGAUUCUGAGUCCGAUGGGUUGAAGGAACUAGUAAGAACUAUAGCAAGGCAGGUCCUGGAUUUGCUUUCAGAAUCUGAAAAUUCAAAAACCAAAUUUGAGGAACUGAGUAAGAAGUUAAUAGGUAGCCAAAAGGUUGUGGAUGAACUAACUACCAAGAAUAAGCUACUUGAAGAGUCACUUCAUGGCCGGACAUCUCAAUCAGAGAUCAUAAAAGAAAGGAGCAUCUUUGAAGCACCAUUUCCUUCUGGAUCAGAGAUAUCAGAAAUUGAAGAAGCGGGACCAGUCGGGAAAAGUGCAAUACCGCCUGUUCCACCAGCCUCAGCUGCCCAUGCUCGAAUGUUGCGAAAAGGUUCAACUGAUCAUCUUGCGAUUGACGUUGAAACAGAAUCCGAUCGUUUAAUAGGAAAUGCCAUGGAAAUUGAUAAAGACAAAGGUCAUGCGUUCAAAUCUCUCAAUUCAUCAGGUCUUAUCCCAAGACAUGGAAAACUUAUUGCAGAUCGAAUUGAUGGAGUUUGGGUCUCCGGCGGUCGAAUUCUAAUGAGUCGUCCAGGCGCAAGGCUAGGUCUCAUUACCUACUGGUUCUUGAUACACAUAUGGUUACUGGGAGCCAUUUUGUGACCAAAUAUAUGAUCCUCCACCAACAAAGGGAUUUCCUUCAUGUGUCGGUAAAUUGUAUCAUCCACCAAACCAAAUACUCUAUAAGAAGAAACCCAUACUUCCUCUUCUUCUUCAACCACAGCUCUUCCUCUUCUUGCCAUUUUCCAUUUGCUCAAAACAAUCUGCAAUCUUCAGAUAUGACAUCAGCUCACAGGGGUUCAUCUCUGCCCAAGUUUGGUGAGUGGGAUGAAAAAGAUCCUGCUGCAGCUGAAGGGUUCACAGUGAUUUUCGAUAGGGCUCGAGACACUAAGAAGAAUGGAGGAACUCCAAAUAAUGUGAUACCACAGGAAAACCAAAACCAAUACAAAAGUAAAAAUCAUGAAGCUGCUAAGAAGAAUCACAAUCCAAAGUAUUCAAGAAAGGAGAAAGCAUCGCAUAGCUGCUUGUGCUUCUGGUAGGCUUCUUGUGGUGGGUUUUUAACUGCAGAGAUUGAUGCUUUGUUGAUUCAAUUGGUUGUGUAUACAGUUUUCCUUUUGGUGUCUUAAUUUUGGAAAAUUUUUAUGGUGUUUUCUUUCUGUUCAUUACAUUAGGCUUCUUGGGUUACCUCUUUCUGUACUUAAUCCAUUUUUAUAGAAAGAAAAAGUUGAGUUAUAUUAUUUUAUUGUGAAAUAAGUUUUGAAUUUGGAGCUUCUUUUGUCAAUGGUAAUACAUGAUUCUUUUGA